CUUGACAUAAAGCUUUAGAAUGAGAAUCACGUUAUCUAUCUGUAAUCAUUAAUGUGAGUCAAAUAUAAAUGUCUCUCCGGACUCGCCUUUAGCUUCUGCCUAAUCACAUUAUCUGUUAUAAGUAUAAGCAGGGUAUGAGCGAAUGUAAUUUUGUUUCCACAAGUCCCAUCUUGAGAUCAAAUCUACUUUGUGCCAGGAAAAGAAGACUAAGGAAUAAAAUGAAAGUGGCGGUGAUCGGAGGUGGAGUAAGUGGGUUAGGAAGUGCCUACGUUCUUGCAAGGGAAGAUGGAAUCAAGGAGGUGGUGUUGUUUGAAAAGGAGGAAUCGUUUUUUGGAGGCCAUGGUAAAACGAUGCGUUUGGAAGGAGUUGAUUUAGACAUUGGAUUCAUAGUCUUCAACCCUGUUACGUGUCCGAACAUGAUGGAGUUAUUCAAGAACUUGGGAGUAGACAUGGAGGUUUCAGACACGUCUUUCUCAGUGAGCCUCAACAAUGGCAGAGGCUACGAAUGGGGAACCCGCAACGGACUUUCAAGCUUGUUUGCUCAGAAGAGAAACAUUCUCAACCCCUAUUUCUGGCAUAUGAUUACAGAGUUUAAUAAGUUUAAGGAAGACGCACUAAAAUAUAUCGAAGAGAUGGAGCGUAACCCUGACACUGAUCGAAACGAAACCUUAAGAGAGUUUCUCAAGUCUCAUGGAUACUCUACCUUGUUUCAAAAGGCUUACUUGGUACCAGCAUGCAGUUCGAUAUGGACAUGCCCACCAGACAGCGCCCUUAACUUUUCAGCUUACUCUGUUCUUUCCUUUUGCCGCAACCACCAUUUAUUUCAGAUCUUUGAGAGGCCACAAUGGAUGACUGUUGCAGGUCGCUCGGAGACUUAUGCCGCAAAGGUUAGAGUAGAACUGGAGCAACGAGGAUGUAAGAUCCGAACAAGUUGUAAUGUACAAUCUGUUUCAACAUCUGAGGAUGGUUGCAUCUUAGUAACAACCGAAGAUGGAUCUCAGGAAGUAUUCGAUAGAUGUAUAUUAGCUGUAAACGCACCAGAUGCUCUGAGAUUGCUUGGAGAAGACGCCACCUCUGAUGAAACCAGGGUUCUUGGUGCUUUUCAAUACGCUUACAGUGAUAUUUAUCUCCACCGUGAUUCUGAUCUGAUGCCGCGGAAUCGUGUUGCAUGGAGCGCUUGGAAUUUCCUAACAAGUUCUGAAAAUAAAGCGAGCCUGACACAUUGGCUCAAUAUAAUUCAGAAUUUUGAAGAGGAACAAGAUUCAUACUUUCUCACACUUAAUCCUGAAGUUAGCCCAAAGAAGACAUUGUAUAAGUGGACCUCUGGUCGUCCUCUGCCAUCUGUUUCUGCUUGGAAAGCUUCACAAGAGCUAAACAAGAUUCAAGGGAAGCGUGGUAUAUGGUUCUGUGGUGCAUAUCAAGGCUCUGGUUUUCAUGAAGAUGGGCUAAAGGCUGGUAUGGGGGCUGCACAAAGUCUGCUAGGGAAAGAUAUGGUUCCUCUUCCGAGCAAUCCAAAACAUAUGGUCCCAUCUCUAACCGAAAAGGGGGCUCGGUUUUUAUUUACUAGAUUCUUGAGACAUUUCAUAUCAACCGGUUGUGUAACAGUAUAUGAAGAAGGAGGAACAGUGUUCACUUUCAAAGGAAAGGAUUUGAGAUGUAACUUAGAAUCUGUCAUGAAGAUUCACAAUCCUCAUUUUUACUGGAAGGUUAUGACACAAGCAGAUUUAGGACUUGCUGAUGCCUAUAUAAAUGGAGAUUUUUCUUUUGUUAAUAAAGAAACAGGACUUCUCAAUUUGAUCAUGAUUCUCAUUGCUAAUAGAGAAUUGAACUCAAAGAACUUAAAUCUUGCUAAGAAAAGGGGUUGGUGGACACCGAUGUUUAUGACUGCUGGUUUAACAUCUGCAACACAGUUCCUAAAGCAUUUCUCUAGGCAGAACACUUUAACUAAAGCUCGAAGGAACAUUUCACGUCACUAUGACCUUAGCAAUGAGCUUUUUGCUCUAUUCUUGGAUGAUACCAUGAGUUAUUCCACUGCGGUAUUCAAGUCAGACGAUGAGGAUCUGAAAACUGCACAGAUGAGGAAAAUAAACCUUUUAAUUGAUAAGGCUAGAAUAGAAAAGAACCAUGAGGUUUUAGAGAUUGGAUGUGGAUGGGGAACUUUGGCCAUUGAAGUUGUGAAAAACACUGGAUGUAAAUACACUGGUAUUACACUAUCUAUCGAACAGCUUAAAUAUGCAGAAGAAAAGGUUAAAGAAGCUGGACUUCAGGAUCGGAUUACAUUUGAGCUUUGCGAUUAUCGUCAACUAUCUGAUGCUAAAAAAUAUGACAGAAUCAUAUCUUGUGAGAUGAUAGAACAUGUUGGCCACGAGUUUAUGGAUACAUUCUUCAGUCACUGUGAAGCUGCGCUUGCAGAAGACGGGAUCUUUGUCUUGCAGUUCAUAUCGAUACCCGAAGAGCGUUACAAUGAGUACAGACUAAACUCGGAUUUCAUAAAAGAAUACAUAUUCCCCGGUGGAUGCCUUCCUUCCUUAGCCAGAGUUAUUUCUGCCAUGGCCUCUUCUUCUCGGUUGAGCGUAGAAAAUGUUGAGAACAUUGGGCUUCAUUACUACCAAACAUUGAGAUGCUGGAGGAAGAACUUCUUGGAAAAUCAAAAACAAAUCAUGGAUCUUGGAUUCGAUGAUAAGUUCAUAAGGACGUGGGAAUAUUACUUCGACUAUUGUGCAGCUGGUUUCAAGACUCUUACUCUUGAAGACUACCAGGUAGUGUUCUCACGUCCAGGGAAUGUAGCUGCAUUCGGAGAUCCAUUCCGUAACUUCCCUUCUGCUCAUAAUUAAAUAAGAGUAGAAGAACCCUUUCAACACUUUUUAAGUACUACUCUCAUUUCUUGUGCUGUUUCCUAUUCAUAGUUUGCGUGUGAAAGCAUCUGUAAACUUAAAAACAGAAAACUGCGUUCAUGAUUGAUUCUGCAUUCUGUACCAAUAAUCUCAUAUGUCUAGACCAUAUAUCAACUUAUUCUACAUCAAAAAAAUCAUAUAUAACCGCCUUAAAUAAUGUGUUUUGAUUUUUUUCUCAAGCUGUUAUGGACUGAUUCACUUUCAUAAGACCUUGAAAAAAAACUAUUAUACAACAUUAGGCAGCUAAUACAUGUUCUUUAGCAAGAACAGCCUUGGCCUCUUGGUGAUAGGUUUCUUCCUUUUUAUUAUGGCCACUUUUAAGAGUCCAUAUUGCAAGGGAUAUCUUUAGAAAUUACGAAAUAGAACAUUGAACUUUUAGUCAAAUCAUAGCUGCAUGUUAUUUUCACUAAUAUACAUUUUUCCUAAAAUCGAGAAUUUCAGAGAACCUAUACAAUUAUGCAGUUAUAAAAUUGUGCUACCGCACUCGUUAAUUUUUUUAUACUGUGUUUGGCAGGCGAUAGCAGGAUAUUACAUGAUUUGGUAAGGCCGUAACCACUGAUUUGAUAAUCACCUCCUUUCCCCUUUUGGUAAAGAACUUAAAAGUCCAUCCAUUAACUAUGUUGUUUAAACGAUCAUGUAUAAAACCCAAAACCCGUAUUUUCAAUCCUCCCAGAUUCUCUGGUAUUUCCAAAUAUGAUCUUAUCCCGCCUACAUUCUGUAUCCCUAAAUUAUCACGCAUAUCAUGCCGAGUAGACUCCUCAAUCUUAUAUCCAAAUUGAAUGGACGAUUUCAGGAAAAAUAUCAGCUGGCCCGAUAAUUCAUCAUAUUCCUUUAAGAUCCUUAAAAUAGUUUGACACUCAUCCUUUUGGGCCUUACAAAAAAAUAAGCUAUCGCCUACAAAGAGUAUGUGAGAUAUCGGAGUAUAGGACCUAGCCACUUAUAUCCCCAUUAGUUGUUUCUCUCUCUUUGCGUUUUUAAUAUCUACGAUUAAAGCCUCUGUGCACAUGAUAAAUCUUAGUAAAGCUAAGGGAGAAGACUUCUCAAGAAAAAUGAGUCAAAUCCACAAAAGAUCAAACAUUACAUAAUUUCAAACAUAUAAUUUUUUUCACUAAAAUCUUUUCGGAAAUCUCCGAAGACUUCUCGGGUAGACUUAAAUUUUAAGCAAAAAAUUUUAAGCAGUAAAUUAAAAUAUAAGCGGAAAUUUAAGCGAACAAUUAAAAUUUAAGCAGGAAACUUAAAUUUUAAGUGAAAAUUUAAAUUUUAAAUUUUAUGAAAGUUAAAAGUAUAUCUUACGAUUUAAGAAGACACAUUAAAUAACAUGACUUUAUAUUCUUGAAGAUACUUAACACCUUUAAAAGUUAAAAAUAUAUUUUGAAGUUGAAAAUACAAGGUUUACAAAAACUAACGUAGAAGACUUUUGGGGAAAUCAUUUCUCAUUAGCUAGAAACAUUAAUAAACAUGAAUAUUGAUAACUUCAUAAUUAUCACCAAUUAAGUUAUGAAUUAAUUCAGUAGCCUCUAUAUUGACUAAUAUACAUGAAUUAACAAGAAAAGAUUAAAAAGUUUUUUAUUUAUUUUAAAAAAAAUGAAAUUUUAUUAAACAUUAACCCAAAGAAUACUUCUAAGAAGCCUACCAUUUCUGUCAUUUUUGCAGCUGCAAAUUUACAAAGGAAGCCUUCCAAGGAAGUCAAAUCUACAUAAGACUUCUCGAAAGUCUUCCUUUGUAAAUAUUGGCUUACUUUUGAUUUUGAAAUUUUUUCGAAAAUACCAGAGAAGACUUCAGAUAAACAUGUUAAUUUUACAAUUGCUCGAAUUGUGUCAGAAAUUUGACUUUCUGGAAAGUCUUCUCAACUAUCACAUUAAACUUUCUCACUGUCGGUAAAAGUCUACGUACGUUACUUUUGCAACCGACCCAUAUUUGUCUUUUUGAGAAAAAACUUCGACGGAAGUCUUCUAUCAUAACAAAUGUUUGACCAGAAUCACAGAAUAAAAAUCUGGAAGUCUUCAAAAAUCAUUCUUAGAUCCAUUGAGGUUCAUGUUUUGCUUCUCCAAGCACACAUCACUUCUUAUUGAAAGAUACCCACUAGUUCUUGACCAAGAAUUAUGAACUUGAGUAACUCUAAUAAACUUAUAAAUUUUGAAAUAAAAAAUUAGGAUUUUUGGAUGAAAUAUGAGAGGAAAUGAAAGGAAAAUGGUUUGAGUCUGUAAGAAAUAAAAAUAUGAAGAUGUAGAUGUUGAUUUUAUGUACAUUUAUAGCUUUAAAUUGAUUGUUCAUGGUGGUUGGUGUAUUGACAAUAAUGACAAUGUUGUAAAUAAAAGAGGAAGAUGAUGAUUGAGUAUUUUUUUUGUCAACAACAAACAGAUUCAUAUAGACUCUGUAAACCAAACUGGUAGCUCCGCGUCCAUAUGGAUAACAAAAGACGAUUGAUUUCUUGCACUGCGUGCUAGACUGUCCGUCCUUUAAUUCUGCGUCUGUGGUAUAUGGAUGAUCUCUAAACUGUUGAAACUUCCCUUCAAUAACUUUAUAUCAUCCAAAUAACUUGCAAUGGCUGGUCACUCUUCAGGUUCAGAAACCAUCUUCACCAAUUGGGAACAAUCUGUUGCAAAUGUGACGUUUAACUGUCUUAGAUUCCUCAUACAUUUCAUAGCCCAAAUAAAAGCUUAUAUCUCCGAAUGAAGAUGAUGAUUGAGUAAAAUAAGCAUUUUCAAAAGGAAAAAAAAAGAAAAAAAAAUUAUUGACAUUUUCGUUAAUAAUUCAAAAUUUCUUGAGUGAAUAUGAAAAAUGAAAGUUCCAAAAAAAAUCAUUGGUUAGUUUUACAUUUGACUUUUUACUUAGAGUCGUUUUUGCAAAAAUCUCUUAUAUAUAAAAAUCAUUUUAGAUUAAUAACUUAACAUACAUUAUUUUAAAGACAUAAAAUUGUAUUUACUUAAAUUAUAAAUAAAUAAUAUAUAAUAUGUUUUCAUAACAUGUUAUUAGUAACUAUGAAAUACUUUUAUACAAGAUUGAAAUUAUUAACAUAUUUUAAAUUUUGGAUUAACAAUUAUGAUGACAAAAAGAAAAGAUCAACAAUUAUAUAUUAUCUAAAUAGUUAAUUUUAAAAUAUAAUUUUUGAUAAAAAUAGUCUCUCCUUUUCGAAGCAUAUAUCAGAAUCAAGUUAUGCUUAAUUUAAAUUAUUAUUGUAACAAUAUUUGUUAAAAUUAGGUAGACCAUAACAUUAACACAUCACCAUAUGAGCAGGCGACGUUGACAAAUGUAAGAUAGACAAUCUUGUCUUUUUGGUAAAGGAUUCGACUAAUCUUGUUUGAUAGUCGAAUUAAUUUUGAACAAACCAAAAAAAAUAAUUAAAUAUUGAACGAACCAAACAAAAUAAUAAUAAUUAAAUUUUACCGAAAUAAUAAUAAUAAUUAAAUAUUGAACGAACCAUCUGGACAUUACACAGUAUUGACUAGUAACAUAUCCACGCAAAAAAAAUUAAAUACUUUUUAAAAACCAAUUGGUUGUUGUGUGCGAAGAACAAGCAUAACUACCCAAUAUCUAUACAUGUAGGUCCGCCUCUAGCCAUGCUUCUUGACAUAAAGCUUUAGAAUGAGAAUCACGUUAUCUAUCUGUAAUCAUUAAUGUGAGUCAAAUAUAAAUGUCUCUCCGGACUCGCCUUUAGCUUCUGCCUAAUCACAUUAUCUGUUAUAAGUAUAAGCAGGGUAUGAGCGAAUGUAAUUUUGUUUCCACAAGUCCCAUCUUGAGAUCAAAUCUACUUUGUGCCAGGAAAAGAAGACUAAGGAAAUAAAAGGAAUAAAAUGAAAGUGGCGGUGAUCGGAGGUGGAGUAAGUGGGUUAGGAAGUGCCUACGUUCUUGCAAGGGAAGAUGGAAUCGAGGAGGUGGUGUUGUUUGAAAAGGAGGAAUCGUUUUUUGGAGGCCAUGGUAAAACGAUGCGUUUGGAAGGAGUUGAUUUAGACAUUGGAUUCAUAGUCUUCAACCCUGUACGUACGCUUCCCAGUUAUCUUUUUCUAGAAUUAUUAAUUAAAUAACCAUCCUAGUUUUAUAAAUGGAAACCGUGAUUUUAAGCAAUA